AGUAGAGGUAGAUGGUAGUAGAGGUAGAUGGUAAUAGAGUAGAGGUAGAUGGUAGUAGAGUAGAGGUAGAUGGUAAUAGAGUAGAGGUAGAUGGUAGUAGAGGUAGAUGGUAGUAGAGGUAGAUGGUAGUAGAGGUAGAUGGUAGUAGAGGUAGAUGGUAGUAGAGGGAAGAUGGUAGUAGAGUAGAGGUAGAUGGUAGUAGAGUAGAGGUAGAUGGUAGUAGAGUAGAGGUAGAUGGUAGUAGAGUAGAGGUAGAUGGUAGAGUAGAGGUAGAUGGUAGUAGAGGUAGAUGGUAGUAGAGGUAGAUUGUAGUAGAGUAGAGGUAGAUGGUAGUAGGGUAGAGGUAGAUGGUAGUAGAGUAGAGGUAGAUGGUAGUAGAGUAGAGGUAGAUGGUAGUAGAGUAGAGGUAGAUGGUAGUAGAGGUAGAUUAUAGUAGAGUAGAGGUAGAUGGUAGUAGAUGGUAGUAGAGUAGAGUUAGAUGGUAGUAGAGUAGAGGUAGAUGGUAGUAGAGGUAGAUGGUAGUAGAGUAGAGGUAGAUGGUAGUAGAUGGUAGUAGAGUAGAGUUAGAUGGUAGUAGAGUAGAGGUAGAUGGUAGUAGAGGUAGAUGGUAGUAGAUGGUAGUAGAGGUAGAUGGUAAUAGAGGUAGAUGGUAGUAGAGGUAGAUGGUAAUAGAGUUAGAUGGUAGUAGAGGUAGA
rnacentral:lncRNA from 1 species